UACGUAGGGGGCGAGCGUUGUCCGGAUUUAUUGGGCGUAAAGAGCUCGUAGGCGGUUCGAUAAGUCGGACGUGAAAUCUCCACGCUCAACGUGGAGGGGCCGUUCGAUACUGUCGUGACUCGAGUCCGGUAGGGGAGUGUGGAAUUCCCGGUGUAGCGGUGAAAUGCGCAGAGAUCGGGAGGAACACCAAUUGCGAAGGCAGCUCGCUGGGACGUUACGUGACGCUGAGACGCGAAAGCGUGGGGA
rnacentral:rRNA from 1 species